CUACGUAGUUAGCUGUCAGCGUACUUCAGUGGAUAUAUUCACUCGAUUGCGAUAUUCGUGCGCCUCGCUGACGCUGUACAAUCUUACACUGUCCUUGCUUGCUGGAAGAGGAUUCUGAUAUUUUCCAGGGUAAUUAGCAUUCCAGAAUCAUUCCGACUGUCUACACAGGAGUAAACACGCAGGAGACCGGCGCAUGCCUAUGGACCGCAGAUAUUGCCGUGGUGUAUGCGCUCUCGGUGUCUCAUCUGUUUUGUAGUUAACGUUAGAUACAACAGCGUUUGAAACACACAUUAAAAUGGCCACAGACGAGCUGUCGUCAAAGCUCAGCCGUCGGCUGCAGAUAGAAGACGGUGCUGAGGAACCGGUGGCCGUUGAUGAGGGUGGUCAGGGACAUGAAAACGGUGCGGGUGAGGAGAAGGCAGCCACAGCGAACGCAGACUCUGAGUUGGGCGCUAAACUCAUGCGGCGGGGGGAGUUGAACGACGGAGUGGGUGAACACCAUCAGCCGAGCAUGAAGGUCUUCAACCCCUACACUGAGUUCAAGGAAUUCUCCAGGAAACAAAUCAAAGAUAUGGAGAAAAUGUUCAAACAGUACGACGCGGGGAAGGACGGCUUCAUAGACCUGAUGGAGCUGAAGCUAAUGAUGGAGAAGCUGGGGGGCACCACAGACCCACCUGGGCCUGAAGAACAUGAUUAAGGAGGUGGACGAGGACCUGGACAACAAGCUGAGCUUCAGAGAGUUCCUCCUGAUCUUCAGGAAGUCUGCAGCAGGGGAACUAGCGGAGGACAGCGGUCUCAGUGUUCUGGCUCGGCUAUCAGAGAUUGACGUGUCCACUGAGGGAGUGAAGGGAGCCAAGACCUUCUUUGAAGCCAAAGUGGCGGCUGUCAACGCGGGCAGCCAAUUUGAGGCGGAGAUCCGGCAGGAGCAAGAGGAGAAGAAGAAGCAAGCGGAGGAGAAGAAGCAGAGGCAAGCCGCCUUCAAGAACCUCCAGUCGGCCUUCAAAUGACCACCUCUUCCUCAGCCCCUACUGUCCCACCUCCACUGUCUGUCUGUCUGUCCUUUAAGUGUCCCGGUGAUUUUUCUGCCUCCAUUUUGAAAUCUGGUCAUCAUAUGCAAGGCGCUGGUAGUCUGUCCAGGGUUAGUCCCUGUCCCUGAGAGAGGAGCAGUUCUAUUCUGCUGAUUCCCCAUUUGAUUUGACCUGACAAGUAACUAAAGAACUACACAUUCAGGGUUGUGCAGAGACCGUUUUACUCUUCUUGUCAUGUUGGGUAGACAAAUAUUCCGUUGCUCCUCUAAGUCCGGCACUGAUUUUAGGCCAUAGCCAUGCCAGCAAUGAAGAUGCAAUGGAUUGGAUACAUGAUGAGAAUAGAUCUGUGAUGCAAUGUCUCUCCUGUACAUUAUACGAUUAUGUGCUACUAGCGUAGGUCUGGAUUUUAGCUCUGUGGUUUCUGUAGUGACUGAGGAAAUGUGAAUUAAAAAUUAGGAAUGCAUUUUUAGUGAUGUUGUGAAAAAUUAGGAUUGCAUUUUAACCGAACGUUAUUUACUUACCAUUGAUUCCAGUGAAUCGGAAUUGUGAGCGUGUGUUCUGAAGAGGUCUUAUCCAAUCCAUUGUGUUACUUGGUACCAGUGACGAUUUUGAGCUACACAUGUCAUUUCCUGUAGGAAGUCUUCUCAAAGGCACAAGUGUCUGAUCUAUGGUGUGAGGCAAUCUGUGCACACUUAUUUCCAGACCUUCAAUCACAUUCUAGAAGAGUAGAUCCGGGGGGGGGGGGGGGUACAAAUGGUGGCGGAGAACCUUUCUUCCAUUUACCUGGUCCUGGGGUACCCCUGUGUAUGUUUGUUGAUUCUUCUGUUUAGCCUGGUUUUUGAGGACAAUUGACAGCUAGAUUUCUUGCAUAACCAACACAUACAGGGCUACUAGAGGACUUGGUGUUCUGUAACAAUGGUCGACCACUCGCCCCUGCUUGGUUUUACUGCAUGAGCCUUGCUUGUGACUUGUCAGUAUCCAACAAUCCCAUAUUGUCAAAGCUUUGCUUAUGGCUUGAAACUAAGUCAAUUUAUGCACUUGACAUCAAAUAAAUGUUUGCUCAAAGCAACCAACCCUUUGAGCACAUGGCAAUACUCUGAGGUGAAAAUAUGCUGUCUGUAGUGAUGUAUACCUUCACCUUUGACCUAUAGACAGAGGUUGCAAUAUAAAGUGUGUGGCAUUCUAAUGCUCUGUAGUAUAGUAAAUGGCUAUCAUCGUUUUGGAACAUAGUUUGAGAUAUGCAAUCAAUUUGGCCUUUUCAAAGGGUUGACUUACAGAGCUUUGAUAUGCUUAAAUUAAACCUUGUUUAAUGCAAACGCAGCUGUAGCUUUAUUAAACAGACUAAAUUCUAAUAAUUUAUUGGACAGGGGUAGAAAGUAGUCUUUGGUCAUAUCAUUCCUUCCAGGAAAUGUAAUGCAUUUAACUCAACCAUCUACUUUUAAAAAGGACCCAAAUGGGAGUUUAACAUAAAAUGAGGGAAAUGGUUGUAAGUUUUCAGCAUAAGUAUGCGAGCUUCCAACGUAGUGUUAUUAAAGGGUAUCAACGGGUGAUAUCUGGCAGCACAUCACAGUACAACAGAGGUUGUAUGUAAAGAAUACAAUAUUUUUUCAUGACAAUAUACAUUUAAAAAAAAAAUGCUUUUAGUUUUGUAUGGUGAGGGGUUCUGUGAAAUGUUCUGCAUUAUGGGUGUUGUACACAAGCGGGUCUCCUGGUAAAAAAGGGGAAAAAAAAGUGUGUUCACUGGUUACUACACUUCCUGGUGAUGGGCGAUUGGCCAGUUGUAAUUCUGUGAGUGAUUUUAAGAAGAGGUUUAUUUUCUGAUGUGGAGCCUAGUUUGUGAACAGUGAUUCUGUGUCAAAUGUCAAUAGUGAGAACCUGUAGGUUUCUUCCACAGUCCAUUAGGACAUGCAGGUCUGUCCAUGCUCCCUGUCCUAUUUUGUCCUGUGAAAACUAGACUACAGAUGUGAUCCCAAGAUGCAUUCUUGCACUACGUCACUACUCCUUCGGAUGUACCUUCACCCUGUUCUGACGAUGUGAGAGUGGGGUGCAAUAAGCCUGGUCCCAGAUCAGCAUAAAUUGGUUAAACUUCACAAAGAGUUGGCUAAUACACUUUAAACAGUUCUGGGACCAGGCCAGGGUGCAGUGGCAGCGAGCAGAGAUUGGGUGUCGAGUGCGAACAAACACCGUGAAGUCCACACUUGUUUCUGUCAUUUUCUCUUGUCAUUCCUCCUCUUCUUUUUCAUUCCUCUUGAUUUCUGUCUUCAUCAUUACCAGGGGAAAUUGUGCCAAAUGUUGUUUUUUGUCAACCUACCAUUCCACUGUUGUCUUUAUAACACUUGAGAAAUCAUUCUAUUGACCAUGUGAUAUGAGAUUUAGAUUUAGCAUGAUGAACUGGCGACGCUCAGGGUACACUAUAGUAAAGUAAUGCUACAAUGUACCAUACGUUAGCUCCUCUCUUUUUGGGCGGUACUGAUAAUGCAGCAGGCGUGAUGUAACCAUAGGAAUGGGAAACAUCUACUUGCUUCUGUGUCGCUGACAUUAAUUGUCCAUCUUCAAAGGCUUCCUGUUAAGACCCAGCCUCGGUUUGAAAAGGUAUCAUUAUAAGGAAAUAAGCGGACAAAAGUUGGAGUUGUUUGGCUAUUUGAAUAUUUUUCACCAGGUUUUUGUCUGUCGCUUUGAUCUGUUCUACUUUUUUCAAGGUUCCAUUUUUCCAGAUCCUUUGUUUGUCAUUUUACCUGCAGGCAUCAUCAAAAUUCGUCUGUUUUACAUUGUGAUGAAAGUUAUUGAAUUGUCUUGUAGGCUGAUAAAAUGUGGCUGUUCUAUAAUACACCUUUUUAUUUUAAAUUUUCUUACUAAAAUGUAUGAUUAUUCUUGUGGCAAUAAAAAAAAAAACACACUAAAAAACA